UAUAAAAGUAGAGGUGCAGUGGCUAUAAGUAUUUUUUCCGAGUGGAUAACGAUGACGAAAAAAGAAAGGAGUCAUUGCCGAAAUCAGUUAAAAGUCGUUUUGGCUGGUUGGUGGCGUAUCCGAAAGGAGCGUUACUGUCAUAGUGAUUAACUAUGGAGCGCUACGGUUAGG
rfam:Rodentibacter rarus strain CCTG17206 contig_119, whole genome shotgun sequence.